rnacentral:rRNA from 2 species
GUGGGUAGUUUGACUGGGGCGGUCUCCUCCUAAAGAGUAACGGAGGAGCACGAAGGUUGGCUAAUCCUGGUCGGACAUCAGGAGGUUAGUGCAAUGGCAUAAGCCAGCUUGACUGCGAGCGUGACGGCGCGAGCAGGUGCGAAAGCAGGUCAUAGUGAUCCGGUGGUUCUGAAUGGAAGGGCCAUCGCUCAACGGAUAAAAGGUACUCCGGGGAUAACAGGCUGAUACCGCCCAAGAGUUCAUAUCGACGGCGGUGUUUGGCACCUCGAUGUCGGCUCAUCACAUCCUGGGGCUGAAGUAGGUCCCAAGGGUAUGGCUGUUCGCCAUUUAAAGUGGUACGCGAGCUGGGUUUAGAACGUCGUGAGACAGUUCGGUCCCUAUCUGCCGUGGGCGCUGGAGAACUGAGGGGGGCUGCUCCUAGUACGAGAGGACCGGAGUGGACGCAUCACUGGUGUUCGGGUUGUCAUGCCAAUGGCACUGCCCGGUAGCUAAAUGCGGAAGAGAUAAGUGCUGAAAGCAUCUAAGCACGAAACUUGCCCCGAGAUGAGUUCUCCCUGAGACUUAAAGUCUCCUGAAGGAACGUUGAAGACGACGACGUUGAUAGGCCGGGUGUGUAAGCGCAGCGAUGCGUUGAGCUAACCGGUACUAAUGAACCGUGAGGCUUAACCCUAC